GCGCGCCCCGCCCCUCGCGCCCCGCCCCCCGCGCCCCAGCUCGGCUCGCGGGCGGGCGGCCCGGGUCCGCCCGAGUCGGCUGGAGCUGUUGCCAUGACGAGCAUUUUCGCGAGAAAGCUCUGCCGCUGAGACUGUCCGACGCGGGGGCCGAGGGAGGGGCGCGAACUUCCUGGGGACGCAUCCCUCCGCGGAGAGCGAGCCCGGGGACCCCCCGCCCAGCUCUGCUGCGCCCGUUUUCUUCCGGGACCCCGCGAGGUCCUUCCACUGGGCCGGAGCGGGACGGGCGGAGAGCGCAGCCGGCAUCUCGCGCGCGGUGGCCGCGCCGGGGCGGCCCGGGCGCCUGCCUCGCUCCGUCCAUGGAAACCCGCAGGGCGAGCGCCGCGCGGAGCCUGGACCUUUGCUAGAAAGAGAGCCUGUCCUCUUGGUCACUGCACUGGACUUUAAGAGCUGGCUGGUCCCUGAGAAAAGAGCCCUCACGUCUGGAAGACACCCUCAAAGCGAUGCUGGGGAAAAAGUGGCCUUUGCCAAACUUGGGUUUGUGUUCUGGCUCUGCUUUACUGUACGGCACUAGACAAGUCUUGCCAACGCCACUUAACAGGGAACCUCAGGAAGCCAGAUUCCCCAGAUACAGUGGCAGAAGUUGGAUAUUCUGGAGAAGUCCGUGAAUGGGGAGUACCAAAGUCUUCCUGGUACAGAGAGCCCAGGAUCCAACCCAGGACUGAGAAGGAGAGGAACAAGGUUGCUAGAGGCACUGGGAGCCUCUCACCAAGGGGCAGCCUCGGUUUGCCUCCAUCAUUCAAUAGCUUCUUAAUGCAAUUGAUCUUCAUCCAAGGGCAAUGGGCCUUUGUACACAAGAGAAGUAUUAAUCCUAUCAACUUCUAUAUGAGGAAAGGAUGAGAAAGUUCGCUCUUCCAUCCGAUCAUCCCUUAGGCUGGCAAAGUGCUGGAAACAGAGCGAGC
rnacentral:lncRNA from 1 species